rnacentral:rRNA from 1 species
ACGGGUGAGUAACACGUGGGUGAUCUGCCUCGCACUUCGGGAUAAGCCUGGGAAACUGGGUCUAAUACCGGAUAUGACCAGGGGCUGCAUGGUUUUUGGUGGAAAGAUUUAUCGGUGCGAGAUGGGCCCGCGGCCUAUCAGCUUGUUGGUGGGGUAAUGGCCUACCAAGGCGACGACGGGUAGCCGGCCUGAGAGGGCGACCGGCCACACUGGGACUGAGACACGGCCCAGACUCCUACGGGAGGCAGCAGUGGGGAAUAUUGCACAAUGGGCGAAAGCCUGAUGCAGCGACGCCGCGUGAGGGAUGACGGCCUUCGGGUUGUAAACCUCUUUCGACAGGGACGAAGCGCAAGUGACGGUACCUGUAGAAGAAGCACCGGCCAACUACGUGCCAGCAGCCGCGGUAAUACGUAGGGUGCGAGCGUUGUCCGGAAUUACUGGGCGUAAAGAGCUUGUAGGCGGUUUGUCGCGUCGU